CACACACAUGGCGUGGGUGUUGGUGACAGCUGAUGGAGUGGUGGAGACCACGGGAUGCUCCUGUAUCGCUGGGUUGGGACGGUCCUGCUGUCACACUGCUGCGAUAUUAUGGAAGGGGUCGCCACAGCGAAUCAAUUGCCUCCAUCUAACCCUGUCUGCUGCAUCCUCUUCUCUCACACCAACUACCUUCAUGUCCUCUCUACCGUAGUGAUAUAUAACAUUCAACUGAUGAUAUACAAGCUGAUUCUUAUGAGGGGCAUUUCUCUUGACUGUUCCUCUGCUGGGAUUUGACUGCUUGGAUCAGGAAGCAGCCCAGCAGAGCUCCAGCCACAGCUCCACCAGCCGAUCUGGCACUUAACCAUGUGGUGACCUUGAAGGAGGCGGCCAGGACCCCGACUGCAGCCCCUAGUGCUGCACCUCCAACUCUCGGCCAUGGUGACGUCCAGUCGACCUCAAGUUGCCCUGCAGUCUCUGUCUAUGGACACAGAAUCAGAUUAACUGUAUUAGUACAGCACGCUCCUAUCCCAGUUAUAAACAAGGCUUAAAUAAACAUAAUAAAACAAAUGAGACUA